AGUGAACGCUGGCGGUAGGCCUAACACUUGCAAGUCGAACGGCAGCACAGUAAGAGCUUGCUCUUACGGGUGGCGAGUGGCGGACGGGUGAGGAAUACAUCGGAAUCUACUUUUUCGUGGGGGAUAACGUAGGGAAACUUACGCUAAUACCGCAUACGACCUACGGGUGAAAGUAGGGGAUCUUCGGACCUUGCGCGAUUGAAUGAGCCGAUGUCGGAUUAGCUAGUUGGCGGGGUAAAGGCCCACCAAGGCGACGAUCCGUAGCUGGUCUGAGAGGAUGAUCAGCCACACUGGAACUGAGACACGGUCCAGACUCCUACGGGAGGCAGCAGUGGGGAAUAUUGGACAAUGGGCGCAAGCCUGAUCCAGCCAUACCGCGUGGGUGAAGAAGGCCUUCGGGUUGUAAAGCCCUUUUGUUGGGAAAGAAAAGCAGCAGGUUAAUACCCCGCUGUUCUGACGGUACCCAAAGAAUAAGCACCGGCUAACUUCGUG
rnacentral:rRNA from 1 species